rnacentral:rRNA from 1 species
CGGAAUUAUUGGGCGUAAGCGCGCGCAGGCGGCCUUUUAAGUCUGAUGUGAAAGCCCACGGCUCAACCGUGGAGGGUCAUUGGAAACUGGAAGGCUUGAGUGCAGAAGAGAAGAGCGGAAUUCCACGUGUAGCGGUGAAAUGCGUAGAGAUGUGGAGGAACACCAGUGGCGAAGGCGGCUCUUUGGUCUGUAACUGACGCUGAGGCGCGAAAGCGUGGGGAGCGAACAGGAUUAGAUACCCUGGUAGUCCACGCCGUAAACGAUGAGUGCUAAGUGUUGGGGGGUUUCCGCCCCUCAGUGCUGCAGCUAACGCAUUAAGCACUCCGCCUGGGGAGUACGGCCGCAAGGCUGAAACUCAAAGGAAUUGACGGGGGCCCGCACAAGCGGUGGAGCAUGUGGUUUAAUUCGAAGCAACGCGAAGAACCUUACCAGGUCUUGACAUCCCGCUGACCGGUCUGGAGACAGAUCUUCCCCUUCGGGGGCAGCGGUGACAGGUGGUGCAUGGUUGUCGUCAGCUCGUGUCGUGAGAUGUUGGGUUAAGUCCCGCAACGAGCGCAACCCUUGAUCUUAGUUGCCAGCAUUUAGUUGGGCACUCUAAGGUGACUGCCGGUGACAAACCGGAGGAAGGUGGGGAUGACGUCAAAUCAUCAUGCCCCUUAUGACCUGGGCUACACACGUGCUACAAUGGAUGGUACAAAGGGCUGCAAGACCGCGAGGUUUAGCCAAUCCCAUAAAACCAUUCUCAGUUCGGAUUGCA